rnacentral:lncRNA from 1 species
UUGAAUUUCUGCACAAGACAAUUCAUAUUAAUUAGUGUAUAUGAAUUCUACAUUUGGGAAAAAAUCAAAAUUUGUUAAAGUUAAAUAUUAUCGUUUCCCAGCGACUUGUGAUGUGAGAACGAACAAUAUGGGCCAUCCAAUACAUUACAUAGUAUCCGCANUCAUAUGACCCAUUUUGUCUGUUACACUACAAUAUAUCAUCACAGUUAUAAAUAGUUAGUGAAUAACAUUAAAAUAAAACAACUAUAACAAAGUAUGACUUUAGCAUAUGUCAAACCUUGAGAGAAAUCCAAGCAAUCUUUCUACUGUUAGCAAUUGAUCUUCCACCCAUCAUCAUAGUUGCUGGAAUAGAACUGUUUAUAAAAAAAGGUUUUAGCAUUCAUUUAUAUAACAAAGAAAGUCCAAACAUUGAGGUUCUUACCAAUCAACUGCUUGUCUAAGAUGUGUGGGAGGAGGCCUGUGCAAUGAGCAGAACCACAAAGCAUAGUUCUCUUGCAUAGACAUAACAAGAAGCUGCCAAUGACGCCUGAAAUUCAUAAUAACUUAACUAUUAAAUAUUAAAAUCACAUAUGGAACUUUAUUAUGUUAACAAAGUUCACUUACCCGGAUAUAUAAGGCAAAAAGUAUAUUUUCUUGCCACUUCCAAAACUUCUUAUUAGAUUCAUGUUGAUCUGAUCAAAAUCAUUUGAUUCAUGAAUUGAUUGGGGAUCAAUGAAUCCAUAAUCAUCANAACGCCCCAACUUGUUACUGACCCCAGAC